rnacentral:rRNA from 1 species
UACGAAGGGGGCGAGCGUUGUUCGGAAUUACUGGGCGUAAAGGGCGCGUAGGCGGCUCGUGAAGUCGGGUGUGAAAGCCCGGGGCUCAACCCCGGAACGGCAUCCGAUACUGGCGGGCUUGAGACCGGGAGAGGAGGGUGGAAUACCCAGUGUAGAGGUGAAAUUCGUAGAUAUUGGGUGGAACACCGGUGGCGAAAGCGGCUCUCUGGCCCGGAUCUGACGCUGAGGCGCGAAAGCGUGGGGAGCAAACAGG